ACAGCACUCAUUCUGUCAGGCAGCAAAACUGUUUCUCACUGCUGUUUUCACGGUUUUUAGUGCCUUUGGGAAAAGUCCGUUAGCAUCUUCUCAACUGUUUUCAGACAAGUAAGCCCAGAAGUUUAGACUCCUAUCAAAGAGAGAGAUGAUAGGACAACUGUGAAAGACAGGAGGGAGAGCUUUUAUGGCAAUGCCACUGGAAAGAUUUCACUUCUUGCUGAUGUUCUGAUGCUCGUCUUCACUCACUACCCGAAGGAGGAGAAGCUUCGAAAUGGAGGAGGAGCAGAUCUGCCAAGAUUAAAAAUAAUCAAAAUGUAAUUUAUGCCUUUCAAAAAACGAUCUAUCUUGUGAAGAGUCAUUAUAAAUCAUAUUAUACCUAAAAUAUUGACGAAUAACAUUAGCAAAAUGGUUAUCAAAAUAUAACUCGAUGGAAAGAAAUCUUUAAUCAAUUAGUAUGGUAAAUCUAAAGCAAAUAUGAUUGUACAAGGCAGUGAGUUACUUACAAAGCACAACCAUCAAUCUAAACACACAAAAGAAAAACAGGAGAGAGACAAAAAUUUUCUCAGUGAAAUAUGCCUCAGAGGCAUGUGAAGAGAAAUAAAAAAAUUAUAUGUAAUGACGAUGCAUUGCUACACUUACAUUGGUACAAUAUGAAGGUAUUAUUAAUUGGCUAAUCUGAUAUUUUAAAGUAAGAUUAGCAUGAUGGCAAUAUGAUUCUACCCUUUUCAAUAAUCCAAAGCAAACAUAUAUGUAAAUAUAUUUGAAUAUUUACAAGAUUGUCAAUUCUUUUAAUCAU